rnacentral:tRNA from 1 species
GCAAAAAGUAGCUCAAGAAGAGCAUUGGUUUUGUAAACCAGAGGUUAAAUUUAAUUUCUUUUGCU